rnacentral:rRNA from 1 species
GACGGGACCCGCACAAGCGGUGGAUGAUGUGGAUUAAUUCGAUGCAACGCGAAAACCUUACCACCUUUGACAUGUACGGAAUCCUUUAGAGAUAGAGGAGUGCUCGAAAGAGAGCCGUAACACAGGUGCUGCAUGGCUGUCGUCAGCUCGUGUCGUGAGAUGUUGGGUUAAGUCCCGCAACGAGCGCAACCCUUGUCAUUAGUUGCUACAUUCAGUUGGGCACUCUAAUGAGACUGCCGGUGACAAACCGGAGGAAGGUGGGGAUGACGUCAAGUCCUCAUGGCCCUUAUAGGUGGGGCUACACACGUCAUACAAUGGAUGGUACAAAGGGUCGCCAACCCGCGAGGGGGAGCCAAUCCCAUAAAGCCAUUCGUAGUCCGGAUCGCAGUCUGCAACUCGACUGCGUGAAGUCGGAAUCGCUAGUAAUCGUGGAUCAGAAUGUCACGGUGAAUACGUUCCCGGGUCUU